rnacentral:rRNA from 1 species
GUGGGGAAUAUUGGACAAUGGGCGCAAGCCUGAUCCAGCCAUGCCGCGUGAGUGAUGAAGGCCUUAGGGUUGUAAAGCUCUUUCGCCCGCGAAGAUAAUGACGGUAGCGGGAGAAGAAGCCCCGGCUAACUUCGUGCCAGCAGCCGCGGUAAUACGAAGGGGGCUAGCGUUGCUCGGAAUUACUGGGCGUAAAGGGCGCGUAGGCGGACAGUUUAGUCAGAGGUGAAAGCCCAGGGCUCAACCUUGGAAUUGCCUUUGAUACUGGCUGUCUUGAGUACGGGAGAGGUGAGUGAAACUCCGAGUGUAGAGGUGAAAUUCGUAGAUAUUCGGAAGAACACCAGUGGCGAAGGCGACUCACUGGCCCGUUACUGACGCUGAGGCGCGAAAGCGUGGGAGCAAACAGGAUUAGAUACCCCUGUAGUCC